UACGUAGGAGGCAAGCGUUGUCCGGAAUUACUGGGCGUAAAGCGCGUGUAGGCGGAUGCCUAAGUCUGUGGUGAAAGCGCCUGGCUUAACCGGGCGAGGUCCAUGGAAACUAGGCGUCUGGAGGCCGGUAGAGGGGGGUGGAAUUCCGGGUGUAGUGGUGAAAUUCGUAGAUAUUCGGAAGAACACCAGUGGCGAAGGCGACUUACUGGACACAUAUUGACGCUGAGGUGCGAAAGCGUGGGGAGCAAACAGG
rnacentral:rRNA from 1 species